ensembl:lncRNA
GUCCACUCUGUUCCUGCUCCCGGUGGGGCUGCAGCCAGCACCCUUCAUGGCAGCCAGGCCCAGUCAGCUGAUAUGGAUCCCAAGAGGGCCCAAGGCCCCAGGGGCUCUGGGCAAGUUCCUUGGCUACAGGAAGAGGCCUCCUCUGCACUUGUCCAGCCACCCGAGUGAUUGACUCCACUUCACAGGAAAGGAGACCCUGAGAGAGAAUGGAACUGGGUCAAGGUCUCCCAGAGUCGGUGCUGAAGCUGGGUAGGAACCUACAUUCCUGAUUCCUAGACCAGAAAUGAGAGAGAGGGGGGCGCUCAUUCGUUCAUCCAUUCACACCUUCAAGGAUUGAGCACCUGGGACAGCAGCAGGAAGAAGGUAGACCUGGUUCCCGCCCUCGGGAGCUCACAGUCUCCGAACGGGUCAGACACGCAGCCCGACCAGGGAAGGCCAUUAGAGUGGGGUGGACGUGGACGGCAGAGAAGAGAGUUAAAGCAGCUCAAGAUAACGGGCCGGAGAGAGUGGGGAGUUCAGGGAGCUGCUGGUAAGAUUAAGGCAGGGAAAGUAGGGAGCACGGAAGAGGUGGGAUCCUGAGUACCCUGCUUUCCUUCCCAGGGUAAUGAGGAGAGGCAUCCCCUACCCCCACUUUCAAGCAAGGGAGGUGCGUCCUCGUCCUGGGGUUUCGAGCAGGUCUCUCCGAGCAGGUCCCUUCCUGGCCAGCCGGGCUGGGGCGGGGCGGAACAGGGGUAGGGUGGCGCGGCUGGGCGCAAAGGUCCAGCAGCGGGCCACGCAGGCGCCGGGCUGACCUGGCAAAACUUUGGCGUCUCUGAAAACCUCUGCUCACCCGCUCCCUUCUAGCGUGAGGGAGCCGGGCGGCCUCCUUCAGGCCCGGCAGUGGGACCGUCGCCGCCCGCCCCUCCCAUUGCAGCACCGGUACAGACGCGCUGACCCCGCGGCCGUGUCGCUGGGCGGCGUCCCGGAGCGGGUGGCGAGGUAUCUAACCGGGCGGGUUGAGGGCGGUGCCAGGGUUGGUCAAAGGUCCGCCCCGCCCCCUGCCUGGCCCGGCUUCGGGGUGGGGAACAGCGCAGGGAGGUGGGUAGCUGGGCUCCCAGGCACGUGGGUCUCUGCGGCGGCGGCUGGACGCAGGCACUGGCACCCGGGAGCCGCGGCGACUGCACGCCGGGCGGAGAAGCGCAGCGCAGGGGCGAGAGCAUCCCGCACAGGGCUGAGCUGAACUGAGAGAGCAGCAGCAGCCCCCAUCCCCUGUUUCUGGCCCCAGCUUCUCCAGUAAAGGCCUGGCUGCAGGUGAGCUCCAUGUCACUCCAAAGAAGGGCAAACCAGAAUAUGGUUAUCAAAGUGGGUGGCACAGUUUGCCGGAACAGUGUGAUCUGGGACACUGCAGGACCUAGAGUGCCCAGGCUAAAGACCUGGAUUUUAUCCUGAAGGCAAUAAGGAGCCAUGGAAAUUUAUGAGCAGAGGAGUUUCAUGGUCAGGUGGCAUUUCAGAAAGAGCUCUCUGGCUGCAGGAUGGAGAAUGGAUCAAGUAGUGCCAAGUGCAGGAAGGUCAGGGCAUUUGUGAUGUCAACACUAGAACUGUCCCAGGAGUUGUUUAAACCCUAAUUGAGUCCUUGCCCGUUGGCCAGACACUUUUCCCUGAGCCUUCAGAUGCUCCUGCUGAGGAAUUUGGGGACCUGCAAUUGAUCUCAUUCCAGCUCUGCUCCCAGCUUGUUGGAUGACCAGUUCCUGCCCUGCUAGGCUCUAAAAGGAGGCCAGAACAAGUAAGAUCCUGCAUGGGAGAGUAUGUGUGUGGGGAGGCCCUGGCACAAAAGGUUUGUCACUCUUUCUCCUUUUCUCCCUGUCUUGGGCUUUCUUGGAGUCUGGUCAGAGGGGUUAGGUAUCCCAGUGGGUAACCCUCAGAAAUGACUACCAAACUUGGGCUGUGUAGUGAGGCUGUGGCUCCUCUGUUUGUCUCCCUCCUGCCCUGGAUGCAUAAGGCUCUAAGAAGGUGUGAGGGUAUCACCAGGGCCUCAUGAGUGACCCCAUGAGAGCUUUGACUUAAUGGCUAUAGUCUUUAGAGAGGCCAUUGUCCCUCUCUAGGUGUCAGUUCUGCCAUCUGUAAAUUGAGAAUGGUGAUCCUUGCUUUUUGAGGGCAAAGUUGCUACGAGGAUUAAGAUAGUGACCAGGGAAGAGCUUUAUAAGCCUUAAACUGCAGUGCUUGGAGAAGGAAUGUGAUACUCAUAGACUUAAAUUCAUUUUGAAGACUGUAAGAGAACAUGGGUGCAAUAGCAAGGGGUUGUGCUGGUUAUUGAAAUUUAAUUACUGAAUGCCUUCCUCCCCUACCCGCUCUGCAGAGAUGGCUUCACUAGUAAUGAUUUACAAUCCAUUUUGUCUUCCUAUAGACCUGUGAGGCAGGAAUUGAAUCUCCAUUUUGCAGAUCAGGAAAUAGAGGCAUGGAUUGUAUCUUGCCCAGGGUCACCAAGCUGAGGUGAAACCUGGGGCUCCAGUCCAUCUGCCAGCUUAGCCCUCCCCAUCUGAGACAGAGCCCUGUGGGGUCGGGCCUGGUCCUCUGGCUUCCAGGCUGAGAGGAGUUUGAAUUCUGCCCUGGGAACCUGUGUUUGGGGCUUUCUUGUGGCCAGAUUACCCAACUGCUGAUAAGAUAAUGCCUGCCCAG